rnacentral:lncRNA from 1 species
CUUCCUAUCACCCUGACCUUGAUGUAGACAGCCUUCUUGCCACAUUUAUUUUCCAGAACCAGGUCAUAAGUGCCAGAAUCACCCCUGUCUGCUUCUUUGAUCACAAGCUCAGUGUGUGUUUCAGAUGUUGCAAUCAUGGCACGCUUACUAAUAUCCUGGCCUUCCUUGGUCCAUUUACAUAUUGGGAAUGGUUUUCCUUUGAUUGGUAUGGUAAGUCUGAUGACGCCACCUUGCCUUACAAAGAUACCUUCUUGGUAUCUUUCAUCAAGUUCAUAAUCAGGAUAUUCUGGAAAAAAAGCAGGCUCACCAGGUCCACCAGCAUUACAAGCUAGGACGCGGAACCUGUAUUCUGCACCCUGAGAAUCAGAGGUGGGGAGAGUGGUGGAAGGGCCUGUGGACUUACGGAUGCUGCUGCGACACUCUAUGACCUCAGACUGCAAGUAAGAGCCAAUCCCGAAGCGGUUUGUUGCAGCCACACGGAACACAUACUCAUUUCCUUCGAAACACGGAAAUAGUACGGAACACCUUCGGCCAGGUCAUUGACCUUGAAGAUCUGACGAGUGCAUU